rnacentral:rRNA from 1 species
UACGUAGGGUCCGAGCGUUGUCCGGAAUUAUUGGGCGUAAAGGGCUCGUAGGCGGUCUGUUGCGUCGGGAGUGAAAACUUACAGCUUAACUGUGAGCGUGCUUUCGAUACGGGCAGACUUGAGGCAUUCAGGGGAGAACGGAAUUCCUGGUGUGAGCGGUGAAAUGCGCAGAUAUCAGGAGGAACACCGGUGGCGAAGGCGGUUCUCUGGCCCGGUACUGACGCUGAGGUGCGAAAGCGUGGGGAGCAAACAGG